CAAGUCCACACUCUGAUUGUGCUCUCGCGUCACUACUUGGAAGGCUGGAGCGGCUUUAUUAGAUGGUGAAGAAAGCUCACAAAAAUCAAACCAGGGAUAGCAUAAUCAUAAUCAUAACCAUAUGUGUUUCCUUUCGACUGGUUCAGUUGUAGGCGUCCGGGUUGGCGACAAGGUAGGCCUCGGCGGCCUUGAAGAUAGCGGUGACAGACUCCUUGGCCUUGGUGAUCUCAUCGUUCACCUCCACACCCGGCAGCAGCUUGUACGUCGACUCCACCUUGACGACGC
rnacentral:lncRNA from 1 species